GAGAAGAAAAAUGUUCGGGAGAUGGUCCUCAUGCUGGGGCACUUGGAUGGUGGAAUGGCUGCACAAACUAGCCCUGCAGUGCCACCUGCGACUUGAUGAGCCCUAAAGCAUGAUACCGUGGAGACUCUUGGAACUGGUGGACAGCAAGAGCCCUAGAAGUUUACCAGAUGUGGGGAGAGAGAGAGAGACCAUUCACCAGAUGCUCCAUUUCCUGAUGGCCUGCACUUGAAGAUGCCUUAGCUGAUCUGCACUGUGCUAUAUUCUACAAAUCACCCCGCCACACACAAAAAACCCACUACCAUUAAGUCUCAUUUUCAUUGAGUAUGCGACUCAUAUUCUGGGUGUCAAAUAUCGUUCAACAAA